UAGGGAAUCUUCCGCAAUGGGCGAAAGCUUGACGGAGCAACGCCGCGUGAGUGAUGAAGGUCUUCGGAUCGUAAAACUCUGUUAUUAGGGAAGAACAAAUGUGUAAGUAACUAUGCACGUCUUGACGGUACCUAAUCAGAAAGCCACGGCUAACUACGUGCCAGCAGCCGCGGUAAUACGUAGGUGGCAAGCGUUAUCCGGAAUUAUUGGGCGUAAAGCGCGCGUAGGCGGUUUUUUAAGUCUGAUGUGAAAGCCCACGGCUCAACCGUGGAGGGUCAUUGGAAACUGGAAAACUUGAGUGCAGAAGAGGAAAGUGGAAUUCCAUGUGUAGCGGUGAAAUGCGCAGAGAUAUGGAGGAACACCAGUGGCGAAGGCGACUUUCUGGUCUGUAACUGACGCUGAUGUGCGAAAGCGUGCGGAUCAAACAGG
rnacentral:rRNA from 1 species